AACGAACGCUGGCGGCAUGCCUAACACAUGCAAGUCGAACGAGACCUUCGGGUCUAGUGGCGCACGGGUGCGUAACGCGUGGGAACCUGCCCUUAGGUUCGGAAUAACUCCCCGAAAGGGGUGCUAAUACCGGAUAAUGUCUUCGGACCAAAGAUUUAUCGCCUUUGGAUGAGCCCGCGUUGGAUUAGCUAGUUGGUAGGGUAAAAGCCUACCAAGGCGACGAUCCAUAGCUGGUCUGAGAGGAUGAUCAGCCACACUGGGACUGAGACACGGCCCAGACUCCUACGGGAGGCAGCAGUGGGGAAUAUUGGACAAUGGGCGAAAGCCUGAUCCAGCAAUGCCGCGUGAGUGAUGAAGGCCUUAGGGUUGUAAAGCUCUUUUACCCGGGAUGAUAAUGACAGUACCGGGAGAAUAAGCUCUGGCUAACUCCGUG
rnacentral:rRNA from 1 species